GUGGGGAAUCUUAGACAAUGGGGGAAACCCUGAUCUAGCCAUGCCGCGUGAGCGAUGAAGGCCUUAGGGUUGUAAAGCUCUUUCAGCUGGGAAGAUAAUGACGGUACCAGCAGAAGAAGCCCCGGCUAACUCCGUGCCAGCAGCCGCGGUAAUACGGAGGGGGCUAGCGUUGUUCGGAAUUACUGGGCGGAAAGCGCGCGUAGGCGGACCAGAAAGUUGGCGGUGAAAUCCCAGGGCUCAACCUUGGAACUGCCUUCAAAACUCCUGGUCUGGAGUUCGAGAGGGGUGAGUGGAAUUCCGAGUGUAGAGGUGAAAUUCGUAGUUAUUCGGAGGAACACCAGUGGCGAAGGCGGCUCACUGGCUCGAUACUGACGCUGAGGUGCGAAAGCGUGGGGAGCAAACAGGAUUAGAAACCCUUGUAGUCC
rnacentral:rRNA from 1 species